rnacentral:rRNA from 1 species
GACAGAGGUCCCGAGCGUUAGGCGGAAUCACUGGGCUUAAAGCGUGUGUAGGCGGACUUGUAAGUACCUUGUGAAAUCCCACGGCUUAACCGUGGAACUGCUUGGUAUACUGCUUGUCUUGGCCAUCUAGGGGCUAGCGGAACAAACGGUGGAGCGGUGAAAUGCGUAGAUAUCAGGAGGAACACCGGUGGCGAAGGCGGGUCUCUGGGCCGAUACUGACGCUGAGGAGCGAAAGCGUGGGGAGCAAACAGG